UACGUAGGGGGCUAGCGUUGUCCGGAUUUAUUGGGCGUAAAGAGCGUGUAGGCGGCCAGGUAGGUCUGGUGUGAAAACUCGAGGCUUAACCUCGAGAUGUCAUCGGAAACCAUCUGGCUAAAGUCCGGAAGAGGAGAGUGGAGUUCCUGGUGUAGCGGUGAAAUGCGCAGAUAUCAGGAAGAACACCAAUGGCGAAAGCAGCUCUCUGGGACGGUACUGACGCUGAGACGCGAAAGCGUGGGGAGCGAACAGG
rnacentral:rRNA from 1 species